AGAGUUUGAUCCUGGCUCAGAUUGAACGCUGGCGGCAUGCCUUACACAUGCAAGCCGAACGGCAGCACGGACUUCGGUCUGGUGGCGAGUGGCGAACGGGUGAGUAAUAUAUCGGAACGUACCCUGGAGUGGGGGAUAACGCAGCGAAAGUUGCGCUAAUACCGCAUACGAUCUACGGAUGAAAGUGGGGGCUCGCAAGACCUCAUGCUCGUGGAGCGGCCGAUAUCUGAUUAGCUAGUUGGUAGGGUAAAAGCCUACCAAGGCUUCGAUCAGUAGCUGGUCUGAGAGGACGACCAGCCACACUGGGACUGAGACACGGCCCAGACUCCUACGGGAGGCAGCAGUGGGGAAUUUUGGACAAUGGGGGCAACCCUGAUCCAGCAAUGCCGCGUGAGUGAAGAAGGCCUUCGGGUUGUAAAGCUCUUUUGUCAGGGAAGGAAACGGUGGAAAGGCUAAAUACUCUUUGCUAAUGACAGUACCUGAAGA
rnacentral:rRNA from 1 species